GAUGAACGCUGGCGGCGUGCCUAAUACAUGCAAGUCGAGCGAACGGACGAGAAGCUUGCUUCUCUGAUGUUAGCGGCGGACGGGUGAGUAACACGUGGAUAACCUACCUAUAAGACUGGGAUAACUUCGGGAAACCUGAGCUAAUACCGGAUAAUAUUUUGAACCGCAUGGUUCAAAAGUGAAAGACGGUCUUUCUGUCACUUAUAGAUGGAUCCGCGCUGCAUUAGCUAGUUGGUAAGGUAACGGCUUACCAAGGCAACGAUGCAUAGCCGACCUGAGAGGGUGAUCGGCCACACUGGAACUGAGACACGGUCCAGACUCCUACGGGAGGCAGCAGUAGGGAAUCUUCCGCAAUGGGCGAAAGCCUGACGGAGCAACGCCGCGUGAGUGAUGAAGGUCUUCGGAUCGUAAAACUCUGUUAUUAGGGAAGAACAUAUGUGUAAGUAACUGUGCACAUCUUGACGGUACCUAAUCAGAAAGCCACGGCUAACUACGUG
rnacentral:rRNA from 1 species